ACCACAGAAAGAGAAGGGGAGAAACUAAGAUCUUCGGGAACCGCUCAUCAGUUUGCCUACUUGAUCAACACAUCCGACUUCCGGAUCCUGCGUAUGGAUGAGGACCAUGACCACAUGUAUGUUGGCAGCAAGGACCACAUCCUGUCCCUGGACCUUCAUGAUGUCAACAGGAACCCACGUAUUAUCCAUUGGCCUGUGUCUGAACGAAGGAGGAUGGAAUGUCUCGUAAGUGGAAAAGAUGCCUUUGACGAAUGUGCAAACUUCAUUCGUCUCAUUGAACCGUGGAAUCGAACCCAUCUGUACGUCUGUGGAACAGGCGCUUACAAUCCAGUGUGUACCUUUGCCAACCGUGGACACAAAACCCAGGAAGAAAUUUUCCAUUUGGAGCCAGGCACAGUGGAAUCUGGGAAGGGAAAGUGCUCAUACGACCCGAAGCUCAACAGUGUGUCAGCUUUAAUCAAUGGUGAACUGUAUGCUGGCGUCUAUGUUGACUUCAUGGGAACGGAUUCCGCCAUCUUCCGUACUUUGGGGACAAAGACCGCCAUGCGAACGGAUCAGUACAACUCCAGAUGGUUAAAUGACCCCACGUUCAUCCAUGUUCACCUCAUUCCAGAUAGCGCAGAGAAAAACGAUGACAAGCUUUAUUUUUUCUUCCGAGAGAAGUCCUCAGACAUGGGCCAGAGUCCCGUCACUCAGUCUCGGAUUGGACGCAUCUGUCUGAACGACGAUGGAGGUCACUGCUGUCUGGUCAACAAGUGGAGCACCUUCCUGAAGGCCCGGCUCAUCUGCUCUGUGCCUGGAGCUGACGGCACGGAAACGCACUUUGAUGAGCUCCGUGACGUUUACAUCCAGCCCACGCAGGACACCAAAAACCCAGUCAUUUACGGUGUCUUUUCUGUCUCUGGGUCUGUGUUCAAGGGAUCGGCUGUUUGCGUGUACUCUAUGGCUGACAUUCGCAUGGUCUUCAAUGGACCCUUUGCUCACAAGGAGGGGCCCAGUUACCAGUGGGUGUCUUAUACUGGGAAGAUUCCUUACCCCCGACCAGGCACAUGCCCUGGAGGUACGUUCACCCCCAACAUGAAGUCCACAAAGGAUUACCCAGAUGAAGUCAUUAACUUCAUGAGGAAUCAUCCCGCCAUGAACAAUGCUGUGUACCCAGUACACAAGCGCCCACUAGUGGUCCGUACCAAAGUGGACUAUGAGUUCACCACCAUUGCAGUGGACCAGGUGGCGGCUGCAGAUGGCAACUAUGAGGUGCUCUUCUUAGGAACCGACAAGGGAACAGUUCAGAAACUGAUUGUGCUGCCCAAAGAUGACCUGCAGACGGAGGAACUGGUUCUGGAGGAGGUGGAGGUUUUCAAGGUUGUUUGCUCUCCGUUUGUUUUCCCUCAACAGCAACAGUUGUAUGUGUCGUCUGCUGUGGGGCUGACCCAGCUGGCGCUUCAUCGCUGUGACAUGUACGGCGAAGCCUGCGCCGAUUGCUGUCUGGCUCGAGAUCCUUAUUGCGCCUGGGAUGGAAAGUCCUGUUCACGGUAUUCCACCUCUCAAAAGAGUCGGGUUCUGAAGACGGAACAGGGGCUGCUCUUGCGCUCUCUGCAGCUUUCGGACUCCGGCUUGUACCAAUGCACAGCCACAGAGAAGAACUUUAAACACACGCUGGUCAAGCUGCAGCUGGUGGUGCUGUCGAAUCGGCAGAGACAUGAAGGGACUGCUUUGUCAGAAGCACCUUCAAACAAAACCUCCCCCCCACCUUCACCUCAACCCUGUGGGAAACAGAAGAGACUCAAUAAGUGUAGCAACAUCAAAAAUAUAUGA
rnacentral:lncRNA from 1 species